UCAGCAAGGUUUCUCUGGCAGCGCAUAGAGGUGAUUCCUGUGGUGCAGUGCCAGCCAGAUGUGCUGUACAGCAGGCAGACUGCUCAUCCCAGAAAGGAAAAGUUGGUAUGCUUUCCACCUGCUUAAAUCAUUCCUGGUGCUGUUUGCCUUCAGAGUCUGGACUUGCAUGCAAGCAGUAGCCAUCUGUCUCUUGGUUACAAAUAAGCAGUGCUGUAGUGUCUGGGAAACCAUUAAACAUCUCUAAGGGGAGAAAAACGGAAGAUUCAGAAAACAGGGUUCAGGCACCUCUUCUGCAUGUGCCCAAAGGAUGAAGUAAACUUCCAUGCUCUCCUGCAGUCUGCUUUAAGCACAUAGGCACAUUAAGUCAAGGUAGGCAUGUUUUUUUCUUUUUUCCAGUCCAGACUGUUACCAGUACAACAUGGUUUCAAACUGGUCUCUCUUCAUCUUGCUAGCUAGCAUGCUUCUUAUCAGUUAACUGCCGAUGUGGAUAUUCU
rnacentral:lncRNA from 1 species